UGGCAUUCUACUCGCUGGUGCAGAAAAAUGACCCAACUCCUGCGGGACGUGCAGCUCAGAGAAACCUGGGUGCACCAUGCAGGCGCAGUGGCCGUCCAGAGACAGGACGGACAUAUGAGAACAGGGCUUUUGAAGAUGAUGACUUAAUUGCAGUUGUUGAGCAAAGUCCAAGUGUAGUGGAAACACGGGUCCCUACUCCUAC